GACGAACGCUGGCGGCGUGCUUAACACAUGCAAGUCGAACGGUGAAGGGACCAGCUUGCUGGUUCUGGAUGAGUGGCGAACGGGUGAGUAACACGUGAGUAACCUGCCCCCUUCUUCUGGAUAACCUCAUGAAAGUGUGGCUAAUACGGGAUAUUCUGGGUCUGUCGCAUGGCGGGCCCGGGAAAGAUAUUGCUUCGGUGGGGGAUGGGCUCGCGGCCUAUCAGCUUGUUGGUGGGGUGAUGGCCUACCAAGGCGGUGACGGGUAGCCGGCCUGAGAGGGUGGACGGUCACACUGGGACUGAGACACGGCCCAGACUCCUACGGGAGGCAGCAGUGGGGAAUAUUGCACAAUGGGCGCAAGCCUGAUGCAGCGACGCCGCGUGAGGGAUGGAGGCCUUCGGGUUGUAAACCUCUUUCGCCAGUGAAGCAGGCCUGCUCCUUGUGGGUGGGUUGACGGUAGCUGGAUAAGAAGCGCCGGCUAACUACGUG
rnacentral:rRNA from 1 species